rnacentral:sRNA from 1 species
GGAUGUAGGAAGAUCUGGCAUGCAACAUCUAUCACCCCGUUUACUUAUAGGGUUGAAUCAUCUGAUCAGUCUGACUAGGUGUGUCUCCCUGUCCUCACUCAUUGCUCAAAAUGCAUCUCUUCUGAAGUUGCACACUCAGUCAUAAGGGAUGACCUCAACAGAGAAGGACCAUUCGAGUAGCUCCACUCCCUUAUCAGCUCUCAAGAAAUCCUAAAUUCUACUCUGCUUGUAGAACAAAUUU